AACUUCAUGUCAGUGUUCCUACCUGGAAGAUGGAGAACAUGAUAACCGUCAAAGGGCGGUUUCCAGAGUGUUCUGCUAUCUUGAAUACAUCCAGACCCCAACAACGCACGCUGGCCAGCAGAUUCUCCUGUGGGGUGUUGACUCCAAAACGAGGGACGCAGGCGGCGGAGACAAGAUUUCCACAUCAUGUUGUUUCUCUGCAAUAAGAACAGUAUAGAUUGUAGAAUUGUACCUGCAACGUAUAUGUACUAAAUUUGUGCUGCUUUCGAAAAUGUGAAGCUGCAACACGUCCUCAGGUGGCCUAUGCUGUUGUAAUUCCAUAAAUUCCAUGUACAUAAGUAAUCAUCCAGGACAUACAAAUAGUUGUGUGUUUGUAUAAAUGUAAUCCCUGGGCCUGUUUUACAACAUAUUUGUUUCACUUCUAUUUUCAAUUUAAAACAUAUAUAUAUUUUGUAAUUGGCACUUUGGUAGCCCAGUGACAUUGAACAGUGCAGUUCGAUGGGAACGUCAAAGGCCUGAGAAAGACGAUUUACAAAAAGAAGAUGAACAAGAUGAAUGUCUGGAUCCAUUCAGAAAAAAGGUCACAUAUUCAGUCAGAGAGCAACCAAAGGAAGUCACCUUGUGAAAUACUGCAAUGAGUUUGCUGUGAUUAUAUUCUUUAACCUGUGUUCAUUUCAGAAAGAAACAUUUAAUUCACACUUAUGCAACCAAAUGUUUUUCCCAAUAAAAAGAAAGAAAACAAAUUUAAAACCAGGAUAAAACA